AUGACACCCAAGUUCCACCCCAAGAAAAUCAAAGUUUUGCAUCUUAUGUGUGCCAAUGGGAAAGCAGAUACCACAUCUGUGCUGUCUCUCAAAUUGGCCCCCUGGGUCUGCCUUCAGAAAAGCUGGUGGUGACACUGACAUUGCCAAGGCAGUCAGUGACUGGAAGUGGCUGAAUUCUAGUGAAACUGACAGUUCAGAAUGGACAGACCUAGGAUGAAGUAGCACCUUCCUUUUCUGCACUGACCAUCAGGCUCUCAAAGAACCAUACAGAGAUAGAAAGAGACAGUUACAUAUUAAACACAACGGAAAUAUUGCCUUCUAUGAUACUGUCAACAGCUCCUCACCAACACAGCAUAGAUCUUUAUCCACAGAACUCUCUGGAAUCAUUAAAGUGAGCCUGGGGAUUGCCCACUGUGUGAGCUGCAACACUGACAGCUACGUCCUCAUGACAUCAAAAAUGACAUCAAGAGAGGUGUGGUAGAUGCCCA
rnacentral:lncRNA from 1 species